AUUGAACGCUGGCGGCAUGCCUUACACAUGCAAGUCGAACGAGUGGCGAACGGGUGAGUAAUACAUCGGAACGUGCCCAGUCGUGGGGGAUACCUACUCGAAAGAGUAACUAAUACCGCAUAACAUUGAAGCCGCCGAUGGCCGAUAAGGUAGUUGGUGGGAUAAACGCUUACCACGCCGACGAUCUGUAGCUGGUCUGAGAGGACGACCAGCCACACUGGGACUGAGACACGGCCCAGAAUCCGACGGGAGUCAGCAGUGGGGAAUUUUGGACAAGGGGCGAAAGCCUGAUCCAGCAAUGCCGCGUGCAGGAUGAAGGCCUUCGGGUUGUAAACUGCUUUUGUACGGAACGCGGUACCGUAAGAAUAAGCACCGGCUAACUACGUGCCAGCAGCCGCGGUAAUUC
rnacentral:rRNA from 1 species